AGUGAACGCUGGCGGUAGGCCUAACACAUGCAAGUCGAACGGCAGCACAGUAAGAGCUUGCUCUUACGGGUGGCGAGUGGCGGACGGGUGAAGAAUACAUCGGAAUCUACUUUUUCGUGGGGGCUAACGUAGGGAAACUUACGCUAAUACCGCAUACGACCUACGGGUGAAAGCAGGGGAUCUUCGGACCUUGCGCGAUUGAAUGAGCCGAUGUCGGAUUAGCUAGUUGGCGGGGUAAAGGCCCACCAAGGCGACGAUCCGUAGCUGGUCUGAGAGGAUGGUCAGCCACACUGGAACUGAGACACGGUCCAGACUCCUACGGGAGGCAGCAGUGGGGAAUAUUGGACAAUGGGCGCAAGCCUGAUCCAGCCAUACCGCGUGGGUGAAGAAGGCCUUCGGGUUGUAAAGCCCUUUUGUUGGGAAAGAAAAGCAGCAGGUUAAUACCCCGCUGUUCUGACGGUACCCAAAGAAUAAGCACCGGCUAACUUCGUG
rnacentral:rRNA from 1 species